AGAACGAACGCUGGCGGCAUGCCUAACACAUGCAAGUCGAACGAGACCUUCGGGUCUAGUGGCGCACGGGUGCGUAACGCGUGGGAAUCUACCCUUGGGUUCGGAAUAACUUCCCGAAAGGGAUGCUAAUACCGGAUGAUGUCGUAAGACCAAAGAUUUAUCGCCCAAGGAUGAGCCCGCGUAGGAUUAGCUAGUUGGUGAGGUAAAGGCUCACCAAGGCGACGAUCCUUAGCUGGUCUGAGAGGAUGAUCAGCCACACUGGGACUGAGACACGGCCCAGACUCCUACGGGAGGCAGCAGUGGGGAAUAUUGGACAAUGGGCGAAAGCCUGAUCCAGCAAUGCCGCGUGAGUGAUGAAGGCCUUAGGGUUGUAAAGCUCUUUUACCCGGGAUGAUAAUGACAGUACCGGAGAAUAAGCUCCGGCUAACUCCGCGCCAGCAGCCGC
rnacentral:rRNA from 1 species